AAGUCGUAACAAGGUUUCCGUAGGUGAACCUGCGGAAGGAUCAUUAACAAAAUCUCGGCAAACUGCUUCGGCAGCGAGCCAAACACCUUUGUGAAUAGGGCUGUGCAGGGGCGACUCUGUGCAGCUUGUCGGGGUGGGCAAGAAGUGAGGGGAGUGAGUGUGAGUGCCAAGCACAAGCACAAUCCCUCUCUAUCAUCCAUUUUAGCGUCUGAAUUGAAUUAAUGCGGUCGAAAGACUGCAAACUAAACUAAUACAAUACAAUACAACUUUUAACAAUGGAUCUCUUGGCUCUU
rnacentral:misc_RNA from 1 species